UAUACCAUUGAACUAAAAAUAACUGGAACGCUACGUUCAAGCGGAAAUUUGAAGCUAAAUUCUACAAGGUCGUACACAGGCUUUAAAAGGCCCGUUUUAAAUUGAAAAGGCCCGUUUCCCUUUCGAUUUGCAUCCUGCCAUGAAAACGUUCAAAACGGCAUGCUUCGAGCGCCCCCUGCAUUGUCUCGCGAGUAAAUCGCGCAGUAGAAACACGCGUGGAAGUGCGUGUCUGGGAGUCAAAACUGGCUUCAUUUGGCUUCAUGGGAGUCAAAUUUUGGCUUCAAAAUUUGCAUGCGCAGUUUACUGAACGUAGCGUUCCAGUUAUUUUUAGUUCAAUGGGUUAUACAUUUAAUACAUAUAUCAGCGGUCUAAGACAAUCAGUCAUGUUAUACUUUAAUUAAGUAAGCAAUCGUGAUGACAUCGUAAAUCAAAACAAUG